rnacentral:ncRNA from 2 species
ACAACCCGGUCAAGUUUUGGUGCCUGGGCGCGUAGCCCUGGCUUAAAGUGGGGAAGUCCGGUGAAAGUCCGGCACUGUCGCGCAGCGGUAACGGUGCAUUGAUCGCCCGAAGUCCGAAUACCUGCCAAAACGCCUUCUUACUC